rnacentral:lncRNA from 1 species
AAACGAUAUUAUUAGAUACGGCCAGUCUGAAUGAAAUGUCGAAAUGGACGGUGUAAUACGUAGAAGAAGAAACGCGCAACAGACGUUAAUAUUAAUUUCGCAUCUGAUCACUGACACACGUCGUCUCUUGGGAGAAUCACGUGCGCGUGGAUUCCUCCUCCGAGAGAUCAAAAUUUAUUUAUAAGCGAGUCGGGUGUGGCAAAGUGGGAGACGCGUCGCUAUGGAAUUGGGUGAACGAUUACGUUGCGCGUGAGGUGCGGUAAAUAACUCAAUGAGAAUUGAUAGCGGAGGAGAGAGAUUAUAGGCGUGGAGGCGAGCGGAUUCGAGAGGAGUUGUUUGACAAGUCGCGAGAUGUGUCGUGUAGGCGAAUUAACCGUCGCAUCCCACGGAGGAGCGUGCGUGUACCGGCACGGAGAAAGGAGAGUUAGGUGCGUCCCGAGUCGGAAAUCAGAGACCUUUCGUAAGCGUCUUGCGCUGAUAUAAACCAUCGCAUCGGGGGACUCUCGCCAGUUAUAAAUCUCGUGCGCGAAUAAAAAGCGCGAUCAACAUCACGCGCAAAUAUCUCUCAUAUUUCGCCACUCGACGAAAUAUAAUCACGUUGACGGAUCGAUGGAGAAAAAUAUGAAAAAUAAAAUAGAAUAGACUGAUGCAGGAUAGAUAAAAUAUUUGAGAUAAAUAAUGAAGAUUGUGGACUAAACUAUUAGGAAAAUUUGAAAAAUUGCAUCUAACUACGUAAUUUGCGCUAUUGAGAUGCAUACAAAGGAGAGACGUAGGACAUAAAGAAUGUAACUCACAAUCAUCAGCAUUACAUGCUGAUUGCCAUCACCAAUAAUUUACUCCAGAUUUUGAGUAAAGCAUUCAAGGUAAAUAUAAUGGAAACGGGAUUUUAGCCAUCAGAUUAGACUCAAAUUAGAGCUGCUAACUCUUAUUCAGAAUAAUUUUAUUAUUGUAUUAUAUCGGAUGAGAAUUAUUGACGUGAGAUCGAGUUCCGACUUGAGCUUCGCUUUCUGUGAACAAGAUAUCUAAAUCAAUUUCCAUUUAUUGGAUUUCUAUUCCGAUCAAAACACUGACGCAAACGAUCCAAAGUUAGCUGUGAUUUAUCCCGAACUAAAUUUGACAGAUUGCGGAACGGCAGGGGAGGUAGGUAUCCGCCUCUGCUGCUGUGGCACCGUGAUAAUCACGGAUUUGAUGCAAACACGCGGUGUCACGUUUCUAACGAGUAUGCAAGCGACGCGACGCGACACGGCUGCAGCGAGACACAAAAGGAGAAAGAGGAAGGAAAGCUGAAACACAUAAGAGACACGGAGACACGUGCGCAGAGCACAGAGGCUGCGCUUAUCUUCCACCGUGAAAUUAUUCUCUGGUGCGUCCAUUUUACGGUGACCGCUUCUAUUUAUAACUCGCAAAUCUCUGAAUGACUAAAAUAUCAAAGUUAACAUUACAAGAGUCAUAACGAUAAGCGAAACGUCGCUUCACAAAUAUUAAACGGCACGUAAUUGAGUUCUCCAUAUGAGAAAUUGAUUUUUAACUCAUUUACGAAUUUGGGAUAUUGAUUGGGACAAUGAUUUAUAAAGUGCCUCCUCGUUUACAGUUGAAUUCGUCAGAGGAAUUUACUGAACCGAAUUUCACGGUGAUCUCUUCCAACGGCGAAACUCGAGCGAGUCGCGGAAGCAAAUCGCAAUCGCGCUUCUUCGAGGAAGAUAAUGCAAGGAAAAGCUGAAGAAUUUUGGCAGCGUUCGAAGGACACGACGGUCCACAAUUAAGCGCUGCAGGGGUGCGCAUCACGCUGCGCUUUUAAAUAGGGACGCAAUCUACGUCUCGGAUGCAUAGCGCAGUUCGGCCGAGCUCCGUUCGCGUCCGGCUCGGGUCCGGCUCGGCGUGGUGCGCAACGACGUGUCCCUAGUAACGCCACCUGUUGAUGGAUGACAUCAUUGUGUAGUCCUAUGUUUUACCAGCAAUUUACCAUUGAAUUUUCAUAGCGUUACAUUUCUAUUUCUUUAUGAAUUUUGCCGAACUGUACGUCUGCGAGACUUACUGGAAUUAUUGUUUAUAAGAUUUUAAUUUAUAUGGCUAGACAGAAAAUUUGUGUACGCUUCGUACAUACCGUGCCUGCUUUCAGACAAACAAAUAAAACUGACCGAGUGAAGCACUGUGACAUG